CGGGUGAGUAAUACAUCGGAACGUGUCUUCUAGUGGGGGAUAACUGCCCGAAAGGGCAGCUAAUACCGCAUGAGACCUGAGGGUGAAAGCGGGGGAGUCGCAAGACCUCGCGCUGGAAGAGCGGCCGAUGUCCGAUUAGCUAGUUGGUGAGGUAAAGGCUCACUAAGGCGACGAUCGGUAGCUGGUCUGAGAGGACGACCAGCCACACUGGGACUGAGACACGGCCCAG
rnacentral:rRNA from 1 species